CGAGUAAGCCAGACAGUCGCUGCUGACAUUUGUCAGGAGAGGAAAGUCCGAGCUCCAUAGGGCAGGGUGCUGGGUAACUCCCAGUGAGGGUGACCUUAAGGAAAGUGCAACAGAGAGAUACCGCCACGCGAAAGCGGGGCAAGGGUGGAAAGGCGAGGUAAGAGCUCACCAGCACAUUGGCGACUUUGUGGCUAUGUAAACCCCACCUGGAGCAAGGCCGAAUAGAGGGACUUUUGGAGCUGCCCGUUCCGUCCCCGGGUGCGCCGCUUGAGCCGUAUAGAAAUAUACGGCCUAGAUAGAUGACUGUUUAAUACAGAACUCGGCUUACAGACUUACUCGUACC
rnacentral:RNase_P_RNA from 3 species